CCUACGGGAGGCAGCAGUGGGGAAUAUUGCACAAUGGGCGCAGGCCUGAUGCAGCCAUGCCGCGUGUAUGAAGAAGGCCUUCGGGUUGUAAAGUACUUUCAGUCGUGAGGAAGGUGUUAAGGUUAAUAACCUUAGCAAUUGACGUUAGCGACAGAAGAAGCACCGGCUAACUCCGUGCCAGCAGCCGCGGUAAUACGGAGGGUGCGAGCGUUAAUCGGAAUUACUGGGCGUAAAGGGCACGCAGGCGGUUAUUUAAGAGGGAUAUGAAAUCCCCUGGCGUAGCCUGGGAAUGGCAUUGAAGACUGGUUAGAUAGAGGCUUGUAGAGGGGGGUAAAAUUCCAUGUGUAGCGGUGAAAUGCGUAGGGAUGUGGAGGAAUACCGGUGGCGAAGGCGGCCCCCUGGACUAAGACUGACGCGCAUGUGCGAAAGCGUGGGGAGCAAACAGGAUUAGAUACCCCGGUAGUC
rnacentral:rRNA from 1 species